GGGGUACUCGAGUGGCGAACGGGUGAGUAACACCGGGGUGAUCUGCCCUGCACUUUGGGAUAAGCCUGGGAAACUGGGUCUAAUACCGAAUAGGACCACGCGCUUCAUGGUGUGUGGUGGAAAGCUUUUGCGGUGUGGGAUGGGCCCGCGGCCUAUCAGCUUGUUGGUGGGGUAAUGGCCUACCAAGGCGACGACGGGUAGCCGGCCUGAGAGGGUGACCGGCCACACUGGGACUGAGAUACGGCCCAGACUCCUACGGGAGGCAGCAGUGGGGAAUAUUGCACAAUGGGCGCAAGCCUGAUGCAGCGACGCCGCGUGAGGGAUGACGGCCUUUCGGGUUGUAAACCUCUUUCAAUAGGGACGAAGCGCAAGUGACGGUACCUAUAGAAGAAGCACCGGCCAACUACGUGCCAGCAGCCGCGGUAAUACGUAGGGUGCGAGCGUUGUCCGGAAUUACUGGGCGUAAAGAGCUCGUAGGUGGUUUGUCGCGUUGUUCGUGAAAACUCACAGCUUAACUGUGGGCGUGCGGGCGAUACGGGCAGACUAGAGUACUGCAGGGGAGACUGGAAUUCCUGGUGUAGCGGUGGAAUGCGCAGAUAUCAGGAGGAACACCGGUGGCGAAGGCGGGUCUCUGGGCAGUAACUGACGCUGAGGAGCGAAAGCGUGGGGAGCGAACAGGAUUAGAUACCCUGGUAGUCCACGCCGUAAACGGUGGGUACUAGGUGUGGGUUCCUUCCUUGGGAUCCGUGCCGUAGCUAACGCAUUAAGUACCCCGCCUGGGGAGUACGGCCGCAAGGCUAAAACUCAAAGGAAUUGACGGGGGCCCGCACAAGCGGCGGAGCAUGUGGAUUAAUUCGAUGCAACGCGAAGAACCUUACCUGGGUUUGACAUGCACAGGACGCCGGCAGAGAUGUCGGUUCCCUUGUGGCCUGUGUGCAGGUGGUGCAUGGCUGUCGUCAGCUCGUGUCGUGAGAUGUUGGGUUAAGUCCCGCAACGAGCGCAACCCUUGUCCUAUGUUGCCAGCGGGUUAUGCCGGGGACUCGUAGGAGACUGCCGGGGUCAACUCGGAGGAAGGUGGGGAUGACGUCAAGUCAUCAUGCCCCUUAUGUCCAGGGCUUCACACAUGCUACAAUGGCCGGUACAAAGGGCUGCGAUGCCGUGAGGUGGAGCGAAUCCUUUCAAAGCCGGUCUCAGUUCGGAUCGGGGUCUGCAACUCGACCCCGUGAAGUCGGAGUCGCUAGUAAUCGCAGAUCAGCAACGCUGCGGUGAAUACGUUCCCGGGCCUUGUACACACCGCCCGUCACGUCAUGAAAGUCGGUAACACCCGAAGCC
rnacentral:rRNA from 1 species